GCGGCGGUGGUGGAAUGGCAGACACACCAGAUUGUCUCUGCGCCUGAUACGUUAUCGGACGCAGAGAAAUCUGGGGGAGUUCGCUCCGUGUGGGUUCGAGUCCCACCCGCCGCACCA
rnacentral:tRNA from 1 species